UCCCAACUCGACGGCAAGUACCAAGCAGCAGCUCAGCCAAACCCCGGUACUCUUUCUGAAUUUUAUUUGUACCUGCAGCACGUACCGGUUAUGUCUGAUGCUGAAUUUUGGACACUGAAAUACACUGAACAGACAACAAGUGCUGAACCGGUUCACAGACUAGCCUGAUUGAUUCAAUCCCCACGUGCUUGUGUCAAUGCCUGCAAGGGAGCAAGCGUACUGGAGUUAUGGUUGGAUGGAGAGUAAUUUGCUACAAAGCUUUACUAUUUAUGGUUAUUUCCUAAAUCUGUGAUUUAAUAUAUAAUGCAUUCUGUAGAAACCAAAAUAAUGUUCGUAGAGAUCCGUUUUUACCAUAUUUCUGCCAUUCAUUUCUGAUUUGAGAAAAUUGCUCAGAAUUAGGUAAUAUCAUUUAUGCUUGUGUUAUCUCUAUCAUUUUAUGGUUUAGCACCAGUCGCACACUGUGGUUACCGUGUGUGGCUUGAAUCAAAUAGCAUGUGAUUGAGCAAAUGAACGAAACAUAGGUGAAACAUUUAUUUUUUUAGUAGAGAUGGGUGCUACGUACAUUCCAUCAAGUGUUCCCUUUAAUUUUUCAUAGUUUACAUUGAGACACAAUAAUUGCUUAAAGCAUGUUUUUGACUGCAGUGUUGCUCGCUAGCAUCUCCACCAUGCAUCUUGUCACUGACAGAAACCCCAUCUUGUCACUGAUAGAACCCCAGGAUCUUCCACCUGCAGCAAACAAAUAAAAGGACUUUAUUUAUGGGCUCAUAAAUUGGUUGUAUCCACGACUCAGGGUUGAUAUGUCCUUGCAUGAGCAAGAUGCCGUAUCUACAUGGAAGGUUACUACAGCACUACACAUAUCUUGUAGAGGUUUUUCUUUUGCUGAAAAUAGCAGGUGAGUGUUAAUAUUUUGCAGGUUCUGUAUUUCACAAUAUUUCGUAUGUUUAAAGGAUAAACUUCCACAACUCUUUUCACUUCUGCAAGUGAACAACUUGGAUCACUUAUGAUGUUUGUUGUGCUAUACCUGUAACUGAAAUAUGUAGUGUAGCGCAUGUUACACUAUCUGCUUGUC
rnacentral:lncRNA from 1 species